rnacentral:rRNA from 1 species
GGUUAAGUUACUAAGGGCACGCGGUGGAUGCCUUGGCACAGAGAGGCGAUGAAGGACGUGGUAAGCUGCGAAAAGCCCCGCUGAGGUGCAAACAACCUUUGACGCGGGGAUCUCCGAAUGGGAUAACCCGGCCCGCCGCGAGGCGGGUCAUCGUACGCUGAAUACAUAGGCGUGCGAGGCGAACGCAGGGAACUGAAACAUCUAAGUACCUGCAGGAACGGAAAACAACCGUGACUCCCUUAGUAGCGGCGAGCGAACGGGGACGAGCCUAAACCGGUUUGCACGGCAAAGCCUGUCGGCGUUGUGCGGCCGGGGUCGUGGGAACCGACUGGUCCGGCGGCAGACGGACCGGGGAGUGACAAACCGCAUGGGUAGACGAACAGGCUGGAACGCCUGACCAGAGAGGGUGAUAGUCCCGUAGCCGAAACGUAUGCGGCUCCCGUCGGAGUUCCCAAGUAGGGCGGGACACGUGGAAUCCCGCUCGAAUUCACCAGGACCAUCUGGUAAGGCUAAGUACUCCUCUGUGACCGAUAGUGAACCAGUACCGUGAGGGAAAGGUGAAAAGAACCCCGUGAGGGGAGUGAAAUAGUACCUGAAACCGUGUGCCUACAAGCGGUCGGAGGAAAGGUCGGCUUUCGGGCCGGCCGGACUGACGGCGUGCCUAUUGAAUAAUGACCCGGCGAGUUACUGCUCUGUCGCAAGGGUAAGCGAAACACUCGCGCACCCGGAGCGAAAGCGAGUCUGAAUAGGGCGACAAGUGGCAGGGCGUAGACCCGAAGCCAAGUGAUCUAUGCAUGGCCAGGAUGAAAGCUCGGUAAAACGAGCCGGAGGUCCGAACCCACCAGUGUUGAAAAGCUGGGGGAUGAGCUGUGCAUAGGGGUGAAAGGCCAAUCAAACUUGGAAAUAGCUGGUUCUCCCCGAAAUAGCUUUAGGGCUAGCCUCGGAUCACAGUUUCACGGAGGUAGAGCACUGAAUGGGCUAGGGGGCCGACAAGCCUACCAAACCCAAUCAAACUCCGAAUGCCGUGAAAUGUUCUCCGGGAGUCAGGCAGCGGGGGAUAAGCUUCGUUGCCAAAAGGGAAACAACCCAGACCGCCGGCUAAGGUCCCCAAGUCGUGCUCAGUGCGAAAGGAUGUGGAAUUACUGAAACAGCUAGGAUGUUGGCUUAGAAGCAGCCACCAUUUAAAGAGUGCGUAACAGCUCACUAGUCUAGUGAUUCUGCGCCGAGAAUAUAUGGGACUAUGCACGGCACCGAAGCCGCGGGUUCGCGCGCAAGCGCGAGCGGUAGGGGAGCAUCGUGUCCGAAUCGAAGGCCGAUCGUAAGGUCGACUGGAUCUGACACGAGAGAUUAUGUCGGGACGAGUAGCGAUAAUGCAGGACUAUAAACCUGCACACCGUAAGCCUAAGGUUUCCUGGGGAAGGUUAAACCUCCCAGGGUUAGUCGGGCCCUAAGACGAGGUCGAAAGGCGUAGUCGAUGGCAAACAGGCGAAAAUUCCUGUACCUGGACGGUCGCGUCUGAGCUAUGGGGUUACGCAGGAGUGAAAGGUCAGUCGGGUGAUGGUUGUCCCGCCCCAAGCGGGUAGGCGGGGAGCGCAGGCAAAUCCGCGCUCCUAACGCUGAGACGUGAUGGAUAAGGCCCGUAAAACGGCCGAAAUGACCCUAAGCAGACUGCCAAGAAAACCCUCUAUGCGAGCGGCCGGCCGGCCCGUACCGCAAUCCGCCACAGGUGGGCGAGGAGAGUAUCCUCAGGUGCUCGGGUGAACUCACGUUAAGGAACUAGGCAAAUUGACCCCGUAACUUCGGAACAAGGGGUGCCCCCAGUAGGUGAUGAUUUUUCUGUCGGAGCCGAAAGGGGCCGCAGAGAAAUGGCCGCGGUGACUGUUUACUAAAAACACAUGUCUCUGCCAAGUCUCACAAGACGACGUAUAGGGACUGAUACCUGCCCGGUGCUGGAAGGUUAAAAGGAGAUGUCAGCCGCAAGGCGAAGCGUUGAAUUGAAGCCCCAGUAAACGGCGGCCGUAACUAUAACGGUCCUAAGGUAGCGAAAUUCCUUGUCGGGUAAAUUCCGACCUGCACGAAUGGUAUAACAACUGCGGCACUGUCUCAACGUGAGGCCCGGUGAAACUGUAGCAACGGUGAAGAUGCCGUUUUCCCGUAUCGGGACGGAAAGACCCCGUGAACCUUUACUAUAUCCUGACAUUGGUGUUUGGUGUCGCAUGUGUAGCAUAGGUGGGAGGCGUUGAAGCUGGCACGCUAGUGUCGGUGGAGCCACCGGUGAAAUACCACCCUUGUGUCAUUGGACAUCUAACCUCGGGCCCUCUAGCGGGUCCAGGAACAGUGUCAGGUGGGUAGUUUAACUGGGGCGGUUACCUCCUAAAGUGUAACGGAGGUGUGCAAAGGUUCCCUCAGGCCGAAUGGUAACCGGCUGUAGAGCGCAAAGGUACAAGGGAGCUUAACUGCGAGACUGACUCGUCGAGCAGGUGCGAAAGCAGGUCUUAGUGAUCCGGCGGUUGCGAAUGGAAGCGCCGUCGCUCAACGGAUAAAAGGUACUCCGGGGAUAACAGGCUUAUCUCCUCCGAGAGUUCAUAUCGACGAGGGGGUUUGGCACCUCGAUGUCGGCUCAUCGCAUCCUGGGGCUGGAGAAGGUCCCAAGGGUUUGGCUGUUCGCCAAUUAAAGCGGUACGUGAGCUGGGUUUAGAACGUCGUGAGACAGUUCGGUCCCUAUCUGAUACGGGCGUAGGAGAUUUGAGGAGAGUCGUCCCUAGUACGAGAGGACCAGGAUGAACCGGCCGCCAGUGCACCUGUUGUGACGCCAGUUGCAUCGCAGGGUAGCUGCGCCGGGAAGGGAUAAGCGCUGAAAGCAUCUAAGCGCCAAGCCCACUCCAAGAUGAGAUCUCCCGAACUUCGGUUCCUGAAGACCCCUGGAAGAUGACCAGGUUGAUAGGUCACUGGUGUACGCGCAGCGAUGCGUUGAGCCUAGUGAUACUAAUCGGUCGUGCGACUUAACCGU